rnacentral:rRNA from 1 species
GGACUACUGGGGUAUCUAAUCCCGUUCGCUCCCCUGGCUUUCGUUCCUCAGCGUCAGAAAACCCCCAGUGAGCCGCCUUCGCCUCCGGUAUUCCUGAUGAUAUCAACGCAUUUCACCGCUCCACCAUCAGUUCUGCUCACCUCUAGGUUCCUCAAGCACGGUAGUUUAGAGCGCAAUUCCUCGGUUGAGCCGAGGGCUUUCACACCCUACUUUUCAUGCCGCCUACGAACUCUUUAAGCCCAGUAAUUCCGAAUAACGUUUGGGCCUCUCGUAUUACCGCGGCUGCUGGCAC